CCCGGCGGUCAGCGCCCAGAGAGGCUGGCAAACCAGACUCUCCAGGAGCUGCUGUCUGAGCAGCUGUAUGCUUCCACAGCCCACGAAGCGAGUCCAGCCCCAGCAAAAGAGGCAGAGGACAGGAUUCUCCUAAGCACAGAGAACUCUGGCUUCGAGGUCUGCCUGCUCCUAAAGUCCCCCAGGCGACGUGUCCUGCGCUGGGUCUGCACCAGGCAUAGGGGCACGGUGUCGGUUCAGCCAAGGUCAAGCCCAGAGGAGCAGCUUGGAUGGAGGAACUCGAGCCCACGCAGGAUCUCGGGCUGGCAUCUCCUGCGGGUCAGCAGACUCUGAAGGGCAGCUGGUGUGUCGGCAGGGAAAGUCCACCAGCUUUGGCAUCAGCUUAAGCUAAAAAUGAAAGACUUGAAGACUGCGACAAAAAAUUCCGACGCUGCGU